GGGUCUACCCAUUGGUCAGGCUUAAUUGUCUGCACUGGUGAGAUGGAUCUCUACCUUCUGAGGAACUUUCAUGCCAUUCAUUUGGUGUGAUGGGAAAUCAGGACUGUUACUUUGAAAAAAUUAGAGUGUUUAAAGCAGACUAUCGUCUGAAUACAUUAGCAUGGAAUAAUGAAAUAGGACGGACUGAUUCUAUUUCGUUGGUUUCUAGGAUCACCGUA
rnacentral:rRNA from 1 species